rnacentral:rRNA from 1 species
AAAUUAUACAAUGAAGAGUUUGAUCCUGGCUCAGGAUGAACGCUAGCGGCAGGCUUAACACAUGCAAGUCGAGGGGCAGCAUGAACCGACCUUCGGGAAGGUUUGAUGGCGACCGGCGCAAGGGU